GCUGGUUGGUCUUUGUCAACUCAGAUAUAAACUGAAUCAUCUGAGAAGAGGGACCCUCAAGCUAAGGAAUUGCCUCUAUCAGAUGGGCCUGUGGGCAAGUUUGGGGGCAGUUUUCUUGAUUAGUGGUUGAUGUGUGAGGACCCAGCCUGCAGGGGGUGGGGCCAUCCCUGGGCAGGCUGUCCUGGGGCUAUAAGAAGGCGGGCUGACCAGGCCAUGGAGGAGCGAUGCUUGCUCUCCGAGGGCAUUUGUCCUGUUGCUCUGCUUCUGUUGUCUGGCAGUUCCUUCUUGAGUUUCUCCCGUGGCUUCCCUGGGUGAUGGAUUUACUGCGUAUUACCUGUUCUUAAACACUGAGGAGGAAGAGAGAGAACCCCAGGAGGAACUUCACUAGUUCACUAGUUCAUAGGGAAGAGCUUAAUUACCUAUGCAGGCACUUUAGGAGCAUAAAAGUCUUGUCAAGGUGACAGUCAAUAUUAACCAUCACCUGCCUCAGCCCCGAAUAAGGACCUGGGGACAUCGGCGCCGUAGGAGAAAAGCCUGAGACGUCACUGGCUGAGGGGCCUGGUCCCUGGAGUGUGAUGGGCAUGAGGCCAGAGAGGAUGAAGACAAAGGAUUCAGGAUCCCAUCCUCUGGGAUGCUGCUGCCCACAGUUAAUGCGGGUCUGCCCACCUCCACUAUGAUCACCCAGCUCAUCCUUCACAGACAGGCCCCGAGGCUUGUCUGCUAGAUUCUGUCAAGUUGACAAGUGACAUUAACCAUCACAGGCAGCAAGUACAAGCUGGGAAGAGCUCAAGGACAAGCCUUCACCUUCAUCUGGAGAACCUGGCUGUGCUUUGCAAGGGGACUCUGAUCUGUCACCAAGAGGGAGGAUGGCAAGACAGUGUGUGGCUGAGCAUCAUGGGAAGGUGGGCUUUGGAAUCUGACAGCUUUGCUGUCUUAUACCAGCAGCCCACUUUGGAGUCCUACGACCUUGGAUCAGACUGUGUUUUCUUCAUCUUUAAAAUUAGAAAUAUUAUACUCUCAGAUGUUUGUAAACAUUUGAAAUUUAAUAACAUCUAUUUCCCGAGGUCAUUGCAAUCUUUGAGGCUCUCUGAUGCAUGUGUUCACAUGCCUUGACACACUGAUUAAAAACAUGAGGCAAAGUA